rnacentral:snRNA from 1 species
UCACAAUGAAAAGCUUUGCACU